GACGAACGCUGGCGGCGUGCCUAAUACAUGCAAGUCGAACGCAGUGGGGACGGGUGAGUAACAAGUGGGUAACCUCCCAUAAGCGGGGAUAACACUUGGAAACAGGUGCUAAACCGAUACUGAUGGAUGGACCCGCGGUGCAUUAGCGGGUGGGUGAGGUAACGGCGCACCAAGGCCACGAUGUAUAGCCGACCUGAGAGGGUGACCCACCCCACUGGGAACUAAACACGGCCCGGAAUCCGACAUGAUGCAACGUUGUUUGUUCUGCGGCAAUGGACGAAAGUCUGACCGAGCAACGCCGCGUGAGUGAAGGAGAGUUUCGGAUCAUGAGACUCUGUUGUUAGAGAAGCAGUGUCUAACCAGAAAGCAACGGCAAACGUCGUGCCAGCAGCCGCGGUAAUAC
rnacentral:rRNA from 1 species